ACUUAAACAGUUAAUACAUUAUUUGUAGAAUAUCAAUCAAAUUUACAUCAAUAACUUUAAGAUUAGCGGCGUACCUAAAAGGUACCAUCACCAUUUUUACAAUUACUUCAGACCAGAGCUUCAGACUUUAGCCAAAGACUCUUCUAUAUAAUUCUUCCCCUAAUGUUGAAAGAAAACUGUUUUUGCCAUCUAAAUGGUAUAUUUGAGCUCUAGUUAUUAUUAGCAGGUUUUAGAUAUUAACCGUAACAUAUAUUAUAGCUUUACUGUAAAUACUGAGCGUAGACAACGAUGGAUUUCACUCUAGAAUUUGGAAAAUCAAUCAAAAGUGUGCAAUCAAAUUUGUUGUGAUAAGUUUGAUAAGAGUGAUAUUAUGAUCACCGAAUAAAAUGGUUGAAGGCAAAUAAGACCAAAUGCUGAGCCUCAAAUAGAUACUACCAUUUUUGCUGGUGCCUUAUCAUGCAGCAUAGUAAGAUAAUUCUCAUUUUCUGAUCUUUCAAUAGUUGGAUAUUUAUUGGCUCAAGAAGUCCUAUCAGAAAAAGAAAGAAGUAUGUUAAUGAGGUAUAAUAAUGAUAUUAUGUAGAAAUUUAAGUCUCAUAAAAAUUUGGGAACAAAGAAAA